GAUGAACGCUGGCGGCGUGCCUAAUACAUGCAAGUCGAGCGAACAGACGAGGAGCUUGCUCCUCUGACGUUAGCGGCGGACGGGUGAGUAACACGUGGAUAACCUACCUAUAAGACUGGGAUAACUUCGGGAAACCGGAGCUAAUACCGGAUAAUAUAUUGAACCGCAUGGUUCAAUAGUGAAAGACGGUUUUGCUGUCACUUAUAGAUGGAUCCGCGCCGCAUUAGCUAGUUGGUAAGGUAACGGCUUACCAAGGCAACGAUGCGUAGCCGACCUGAGAGGGUGAUCGGCCACACUGGAACUGAGACACGGUCCAGACUCCUACGGGAGGCAGCAGUAGGGAAUCUUCCGCAAUGGGCGAAAGCUUGACGGAACAACGCCGCGUGAGUGAUGAAGGUCUUCGGAUCGUAAAGCUCUGUUAUUAGGGAAGAACAAAUGUGUAAGUAACUAUGCACGUCUUGACGGUACCUAAUCAGAAAGCCACGGCUAACUACGUG
rnacentral:rRNA from 1 species